UUAUUAAAGUGGUCCAGAGGGGCACCACUUUUCGCGCCCAACCAUGGGGUCGCGCCAUUGCUGCCUUACAAAAUUUAUUUAUUAGUUGAUAAACAGAAUUAAAAUAACGAGAAAAACAUAAUUAUGUUAGACUAAAAGUAUUUGAUUCUACGGCAUUUUACCAAUUGGUUCAUUGCAUUUGUUAAGCUAGUUUUCUUUUAAACGUGUUUGAAAAAAUUAGUUGGUAACGCAGCUGCUGAGUGGUGUGUUUUUACCAUGCCUUGAAAAUUUUCAUAUCGGCCGCGUGAGGGUUAGCUGUCAACCAUUAGUGUCUACCUUUCACCUUGAUCUGCUUGACGUUUGUGGUGACGUAUAUCCUCCCAUAGACGUCAGAUUUUUUCACGCUGCCAGUGGGAGAAAAACCUUCGACGGACCGUCCGCGCGGCCAGCAGGAAAAAGUCAACUGUGCAGGCGGAGAGGCCCCUCCCUGCUCGAUGGUCAAUUCCGGUCGGCGAGAAUCCAGUGGGGUCGGUGAACCUGGAGCAGCCGAUGGGCGACCACCGUCCUCAAGCGACGAAUCAUCCAGUGGAUAGCGAAGCAGGACAGACACUCCGACACGAGUCCAUCGGCGAGGAGAAAGGAGACCCGGCGCGGUACCCCGUUCUGGUCACCAAGAAGGAGGACAACUUUGGAGUUUGCGGCCUAUUCAGUUCUCCAAGCUUCCCGAGAUUCUGCAGACACUCCCUAAUUACCUCUCGCAGCGUGGGAUCCAGCAGCAUCUCUCCGAUGAUCCUGCCGACCGUUCCCCUAGCGGUCUGGAGCGGGUAAUAUAGGUCGAGCAGAGUGCCGGAUGCCAUCGGUGGAGCAGCUUUAUCAACCGAGAGUGGGGGGAGUGGCUCCCAGGGCCGUAUCACCCUCGGAGCGGGAGGUUGCCAAGCCCUGUUGAACAGUAGGGGCUGGAACGGCAACCCAGGUGAGUAGCGCAUACGUUAACUUCAUCAGAAACUUGGUAAAUAUCUUCUCUUUUUAGGCGAACUGUCAGCGUGGGAUUUCG
rnacentral:lncRNA from 1 species